UGGAACAUAGCUCAGCAGUGUAGAGCAGCUGGCUUAUAUCCAGCGUGUCCCAGGUUCAAGUCCUGGUGUUCCAA
rnacentral:tRNA from 1 species